AUUCAGAUGACGAGUCCCAAGUAGGAAGAAACGCGCGUCCUGGAU
rnacentral:hammerhead_ribozyme from 1 species